rnacentral:rRNA from 1 species
GGACUACACGGGUAUCUAAUCCUGUUUGUGACCCAAGCCUUCGUUCCUCAACGUCAGUUAUUAAAUAAAAGGUUGCUUUCGCCAUUAUCAGUCGUUAUGGUAUCAAAAAAUUUCAUCCCUACUCCAUAAAUACUCCCCUUCUCUUAUAAAACUCUAGCAAUGGUGUACCCUAAUUUGGGCCAACAAUGCUGUCUAGGUACCCUUUAAACCUAAUAAAGAUGAAUAACACUAGUCUUUUACGUAUUACCGCGGCGGCUGGCAC